rnacentral:rRNA from 1 species
GAUGAACGCUAGCGGCAGGCUUAAUACGUGCAAGUCGAGGGGUAGCAAGAUUGUAGCAAUACAAUUGUUGACGACCGGCAAACGGGUGCGGAACACGUACACAACCUUCCUACAAGUGGGGAAUAGCCCAGAGAAAUUUGGAUUAAUACCCCGUAACAUAGCGAUGUGGCAUCACAUUGCUAUUAUAGCUUCGGCGCUUGUUGAUGGGUGUGCGGCUGAUUAGAUAGUUGGCGGGGUAACGGCCCACCAAGUCUACGAUCAGUAGCUGAUGGAGGAGCAUGAUCAGCCACACGGGCACUGAGAAACGGGCCCGACUCCUACGGGAGGCAGCAGUAAGGAAUAUUGGACAAUGGACGCAAGUCUGAUCCAGCCAUGCCGCGUGAAGGAUUAAGGUCCUCUGGAUUGUAAACUUCUUUUAUAAGGGACGAAAAAAGGUCUUUCUAGAUCGUCUGACGGUACCUUAUGAAUAAGCACCGGCUAACUCCGUGCCAGCCGCCGCAGUAAAAC